AUUGAACGCUGGCGGCAGGCCUAACACAUGCAAGUCGAGCGGAUGAAGGGAGCUUGCUCCUGGAUUCAGCGGCGGACGGGUGAGUAAUGCCUAGGAAUCUGCCUGGUAGUGGGGGAUAACGUCCGGAAACGGGCGCUAAUACCGCAUACGUCCUGAGGGAGAAAGUGGGGGAUCUUCGGACCUCACGCUAUCAGAUGAGCCUAGGUCGGAUUAGCUAGUUGGUGGGGUAAAGGCCUACCAAGGCGACGAUCCGUAACUGGUCUGAGAGGAUGAUCAGUCACACUGGAACUGAGACACGGUCCAGACUCCUACGGGAGGCAGCAGUGGGGAAUAUUGGACAAUGGGCGAAAGCCUGAUCCAGCCAUGCCGCGUGUGUGAAGAAGGUCUUCGGAUUGUAAAGCACUUUAAGUUGGGAGGAAGGGCAGUAAGUUAAUACCUUGCUGUUUUGACGUUACCAACAGAAUAAGCACCGGCUAACUUCGC
rnacentral:rRNA from 1 species